GCCGGGGUGGCGGAAUUGGUAGACGCGCUAGAUUCAGGUUCUAGUAGGGGCAACCCUGUGGAAGUUCAAGUCUUCUCCUCGGCA
rnacentral:tRNA from 1 species